UCAUUGUCUUGGGCUGAAACCAGAGCCCUCUGCCUCUCUUCUUUUGUAGGUUCUGCUGGUGACCACCGCCGCCUCCUGGCCUGACCCUUAGCCAUUCCACACGGAGCACCCUCCCCAGGCAGCGUGACCGCUGGGCGGGCAGUUGAGAGGCCCUGCCACGCGUCCUGAGGGCCUGUCCGCACUCCCAGGCUCCCCACUGCUGGGCCCGUGCCUGCCUUUGCCGUGUCCUCCCAAGCGGACGCCGGAAGUCACAUCAUCACUCUCUCCACAGUCUCGGCGGGUGGGACGCUGUCGCCAAGGAGCUGCCUUUUUUAAAGUCUCUCCCUUCCCACCCUGGGGGUGGACUGCUCCCCCCGCUGCUCCCUGACUGGCCCUGCAAUCCCCCCGUUCUCUCCUUGAGCCAAAUUAACCAAAUGUGCAUGUCCCCUUGCCGCCCACAGCCGAGGGGGAGCGUUCCUGGGGUCGGGCAUGCAGGAGGUCAGCAAGGGUUGAUUGCGAGUAUCCACAACACACGAGUGUCGAGUGUGGAACAGUAGAACUGUGGAGGCUGGCUGUGGAACGUCACUCCCACCGUAUUCUCGCAACUGACAGCUCAGUGUCCCCUGGUAAAAGGCUCCAUCUGGUGGCGCAACGCGGCCGCAACAGGCCGGCCAGAGACCAGCGUCUCGGGCACCAGGAAUCCCCUUACUCACGGGCACCAAUAGAAGAAGGAAGGCGAGGUCUUGCACGGUGAGCCCAAGCAAGUACUCUGGGGGCGCAACGCACUCUGAGCACCCCCCACCCCCGCUAGGCGUUGUGGAGGAAACUGUGAGGGGCCAUUGCUGGCUGGAGUACAGCCUGAAGGGGGAUGUCAAAAAAUCAAGAUUUAUAUGUUCUUUCAACAACUAAGCAUGUCAUCGUUGACCAAAGGGUUUAAGGGCUCUGAGAACUUACCGCCCAGAAGCAGCUGGCUUGAGUGAACCGACGCUUUCAAACAGUUGUGCUUUUGCCGCCACCCUGCAAAGAAAAGAUCUUUAGCUCUUGUUCCAGCUCCCAGCACGGCCCCGGCGCUCCGGGGAGCUUGCCGGCCUCCACCUGUCUCGGAGAACUGGGAGCAGCUGGUCGUAAAGGGCCUUCUCCUCCCCACUCUGCUCCCAGCGGCAGCGGCAUUCCUGCGCUUGUGGAGCCCGAAGAAUUGCCGCUCAUGCCAAUAAACAAAGGCGAUUCUAAA